rnacentral:snRNA from 1 species
CUGGUUCUUUCGCCAUCGGAUC